UAAGUCAGUAGUGAAAUGACGAGGCUCAACCUCGUGUCCAUUACUGAAACUGCUAAGCUAGAGAAUGAGAGAGGUCACUGGAAUUCCCUGUGUAGGAGUGAAAUCCGUAGAUAUAGGGAGGAACACCGAUGGCGUAGGCAGGCUACUGGCUCGUCCCUGACACUAAGGCACGAAAGCGUGGGAGCGACCGGGAUUAGAUACCCCGUUAGUCCACGCCGUAAACGAUGGAUGCUA
rnacentral:rRNA from 1 species